rnacentral:lncRNA from 1 species
AAACUGAUUAUCAUUAAUAUAUUAUCAGAAAAUAUCUAUAGACCUAAUUUGAUAUAGGUCAAAUUGGAAACUUGGUCAUAUGUAAGCUGAACUCAGAGUCAAGCACUUUUGUUUGUUAAAAUAUAACAUAUUAUUACUGUAAAAUAAUUAUUUUCUUCAGUGUUUAUGAUUGUAAAAUGAUUGAUGUGAAUGAAUGUAUUCCUCUGACAUUUUAAUCAUGAGUUUGAAGAUUUGCAACAUAUUUAUUUGUGGUUUUGCACUAUACUCCGACAAAUAUCUGUAUUUGUAUUUUAGAAAAGUAGGUCCUUCAAAUGAUAUUCCAGAAAUAGAAACAAGAGAAAGUAUUGCUAAUCAACUGAAGAACAAACUAGAAUUGAAUUAACUCAUCAACAUAUUUUAUAUCCAUUCAUAUGCCUCUAGGGUCCCUGAUGCCCUUUUUAUCUUUCAAGAAAUAGAGAUCAUUCAAUACAGUUUGAAUUUGACAAUUAAUUUUUGGAACUCUGAAGAGGUUUGUUCAAAUAUGAUCUGUAUGAAGCAGGUCUAAAUGGGACAAUAUGAUAGAUAUUAAGCCCAUAUGAAGUGCCAUACCAGUCACCAUGAGCAGGAGGUAUCAGAAGUUACAAAGGAACAAUGGUAUCAGUCUAGAAAAUGACAUAAUACAAUGAAGAGAUAAAUAAAUGUAAGGAAAAGCACAGAUAAAAGAAAUAUUGAAAAAACUUAAUAUGGCAAAUCUGAUGUGUGACAGGAAGUAGCUACAGGAAGAUUCAUGUCAGAAAGUGAGAUUUGAAGAAGAUAAGAAGUCCCCAGGCAACAAAGUAGGAAAAUCAUUUCUCAGAUGUCAUAGAUAUAGAUAUAUACCUGUCUAUAUCUAAAAUGGUAGAAACCAAAUAAGACUUAUAAAUCAGCAAGACUGUAUGGCUGUCAUAGGGAUGGAAUUUGUGCUUGUCUUUUUCCUUGAGACCCAACUUGAUUUACUUUUCUUCAUUUUGGAGGAGAAACAUGUUUUUAACUAGUCUUUGGUUGUUGGUCUUAUGGCAACUUUUGAUAUUGCCAAAGGCUUGUGGAUUCCUUUAAUUUAUAAUGUUUUUGCUCCAAAGACUAUUCUGCAUUUGAAUGAUCUGACUUUAGAUCACAAUGAGGGCUUCUGGUUGUAGACUUAAAAUAUUUUGGCUGGAGAUAUUGUCACAGUCUGUACAGUGUUUGCUCUGACAGCAUGAGGGUCUGAACUAGACUACCAACACUCAUAUAAAAAUGCCAGGUAUGAUACUGUGCAGCUGUAAUCCCAGUACUAGAAAGAAGAAACCAGGAGGAUAAGAGCCAGUCUAGCCAAUCAGUGAGCUCUGAGUUCAGUGAAAGACCAUGUUGCAAAAACUAAAAUAAAGAGCUACAAAGGAAGACACUUGCCAUUGACCACAUGUACAUCACACAGACACACACACACACACACACACACACACACACAUUUGGAGCAUUUUUCCAUCACUAGACAAAAGCAGAAAGUUGAACUCAGAAUGUCUUAAGGCAUUGGACAUUUAUUGGUAGACAGGAGACUGGAUUUUCUUCUUGAUAAUGUCAAGAAAGUACGUCCAAACAUGGAAAAUGAAGUCUAGUUCUUAAGUACCUCUUAACAUUCCUCAUCAAGAAGAAAACAGACAGAUGCAUUAAAGACACCAUGUGAAUUUCGAUCAAGUUUUCAACACCCCCCAAAUUAAGGGCCUGGAUGCCAGCAGCUGAAUCAACUGGGUUUUCAUCCCUAAUGAUUAAAGAAUAUGAGUGACAUAGAACUUCAUUUUCUUACCAUAUAUGGUGGCUUGUGAGGUUAUUUUUCCCCCUAAUAUUCUAGAAGAAUAGAAGAAUAUUCUAGAAAAAGAGUUAAGCAUUCUAAAAUUACAAAUCUCUUUUUUUAAUGAUUUUGAAAAGCUGAUGAAAUCAUAUAUAUUAUUGCCUCUGUUUCAUAUUAAAUGAAUAUUUUUAUUUUAAAGGCAUAAAUAAAAAAAUGAUUGUGUACUAUC